UUUGGCAAGGCGACUAGAACGAUUGACGAGGCACUAGUUCGCAGGCACGACAUGUUCCGAAGUCCUUUUCCUAGAUUAAAAAGAAACAUGAGUGUGAGCCUCUGUAAUCAAAGCUCUCAAAGUUUGAUACGAGUCUGAGGGAUAUUAUUAUUUCUGUUCACAAACGUCACCUUAUGGGGUGGCAUAUCAUUUUGACUAACUAUUUUUCUUUCUAUUUGUGCGAGGUACAAAUAAAGUGAAGUAUGUGGUGCAAAAUUUAAAGAGGAAGUAAAGAAUCGGAUACUUAAAGCCUUAGAGAAUUGGAGCUUUGGAUGAAGACCUAGAAGAGCAUGGAUGACCUAUUCCCUUCAGACGAGCGGACAAAUGGAAUAGGAUUGCCGAAUGAUUUGGGCCCAAGGCCGAAAAAGAUUGGCGAAGCCCAAGACCUAAGUUAUGGUUAACUUGAGAAGCGACAAGGUACAGACACUCGGUUUGGUGAUCCUCCAGCUUAGGACUUCUGCUCAGCUAUUUGGAGAGCUCCAUUGUUCCGGAGCCUAGACUAUUUUGGUACAGAUCUUUUGAUGUAGAUCUAUGCAUAUCCAGGGGUACAACGGGGCCCUGUCCCGUCAUAUUUCACUUUUAUACUCUUGGAGGUCUCUAGACAUAUGUAGGUUGUAUAUGGGUUAUGGUCAGCUAUGUCGAUAUGGUUUGUUUUGGAUAUUCCUGUAUGUAGUGGCAGCCAUGUCGGCUUGCGUAUUGUAUUAUGCUUUAGUUAGCUGUGACUUCUCAGGAGACAGGUUUAUGAUAUGUGACGUUAUGAAUCUUUAGUUGCUUUUACAAGU